CUGAUGUCCCUCGGCACUGAAUUCUCUGUUUAACCCCAAAGCAGGUCCAGCAGUAACGCAACCUACCGCCACACCGUUCCCUGCUACUGUGCCUCAUGUCUGACCUGGAGGGACUCAGGGGUCAGAGAGUAGCUUCAGUUCUCAAUGACCCAUUCACUUCAUGAUGUCU
rnacentral:sRNA from 1 species